AGACAAGGUCGAAGUAUUCAUAGGACAGUAGGAGGUACCCAGACAGCACAUGUACGUCUGGCCGACGUCGGCCCAAUAUCGAAACGUCGGCCUCUAUACCUAAAACAUCUAUAAAACAUCGGCCUGGUGGAGGCCGAUAUAAUUUGGUCAGUGCUCUGUUCUCCAGCUCAUCAGUCGUCGGCCCUGAGUUGGUUCACGACCGCGGGCCGAUGCCGCGCUUCUCUGUGUGCGCGUGCCCAGUAUUCGUCUCUUUUAGCCACCCAGAGAGAGAGAAGAGGAUAAUCCCAGGGACAUCUGUGGCUCUGAGGCUUACAGAAAUAAUCCGGUGAAAUAAUAUGGUGAGCUAUUGUUGCUGUUGCUUCUGAACUACAAAAUGAUUUUUAAAUUUAUUAUUGAAUGAGACUGUACAUUAUAAAUGUAAUGCUUUAACUCUAGAUGUUUGUGUAAAUGCUGUGUGUGCGUUGAGUCCUGUGCGAGCGGGGAGCAGAGUUGCCAUGGAAACGGGGCAUCAACACAAAAACCGUUACUGGCAAGCAAUAAUCUCCGUCUCUCACUGCGUUUUACACUGUUUUAGAAAUGGUUUAGUGUCUUCGAAAAAGUCCGUUAGCAUCUUAGCAGUUUUCAGGUAGGCUAACUAUAUAGAUUGAGCUCUUGUUGAUGACACUCUGGGCUUUUAAUAAAAUCUUCGUGUGUGUAUGAGAUAUUUUGAUGGCACUUUGAAUGUUUUGCUGGUGAUUUGUCCGUAUGUUAUUGGAAAAGGCUGAUUUACUGAAUCGAUGACGUCACUUACAGUGAGA